AGUGAACGCUGGCGGUAGGCCUAACACAUGCAAGUCGAACGGCAGCACAGGAGAGCUUGCUCUCUGGGUGGCGAGUGGCGGACGGGUGAGGAAUACAUCGGAAUCUACUCUGUCGUGGGGGAUAACGUAGGGAAACUUACGCUAAUACCGCAUACGACCUACGGGUGAAAGCAGGGGAUCUUCGCACCUUGCGCGAUUGAAUGAGCCGAUGUCGGAUUAGCUAGUUGGCGGGGUAAAGGCGCACCAAGGAAACUAUCCGUAGCUGGUCUGAGAGGAUGAUCAGCCACACUGGAAGUGAGACACGGUACAGACUACUACGGGAGGACGCAGUGGGGAAUAUUGGACAAUGGGCGCAAGCCUGAUACAGCCAUACCGCGUGGGUGAAGAAGGCCUUCGGGUUGUAAAGCCCUUUUGUUGGGAAAGAAAUCCAGCUGGCUAAUACCCGGUUGGGAUGACGGUACCCAAAGAAUAAGCACCGGCUAACUUCGUGCCAGCCGCCGCCGUAA
rnacentral:rRNA from 1 species